GAUGAACGCUGGCGGCGUGCCUAAUACAUGCCAGUCUAGCGAACGGACGAGAAGCUUGCUUCUCUGAUGUUAGCGGCGGACGGGUGAGUAACACGUGGAUAACCUACCUAUAAGACUGGGAUAACUUCGGGAAACCGGAGCUAAUACCGGAUAAUAUUUUGAACCGCAUGGUUCAAAAGUGAAAGACGGUCUUGCUGUCACUUAUAGAUGGAUCCGCGCUGCAUUAGCUAGUUGGUAAGGUAACGGCUUACCAAGGCAACGAUGCAUAGCCGACCUGAGAGGGUGAUCGGCCACACUGGAACUGAGACACGGUCCAGACUCCUACGGGAGGCAGCAGUAGGGAAUCUUCCGCAAUGGGCGAAAGCCUGACGGAGCAACGCCGCGUGAGUGAUGAAGGUCUUCGGAUCGUAAAACUCUGUUAUUAGGGAAGAACAUAUGUGUAAGUAACUGUGCACAUCUUGACGGCACCUAAUCAGAAAGCCACGGCUAACUACGUG
rnacentral:rRNA from 1 species